UACGUAGGGCGCGAGCGUUGUCCGGAAUCAUUGGGCGUAAAGAGCUCGUAGGCGGUCUGUUGCGUCCGCUGUGAAAACUCGGGGCUUAACCCCGAGCCUGCAGUGGAUACGGGCAGACUAGAGGUAGGUAGGGGAGAAUGGAAUUCCCGGUGUAGCGGUGAAAUGCGCAGAUAUCGGGAGGAACACCGGUGGCGAAGGCGGUUCUCUGGGCCUUACCUGACGCUGAGGAGCGAAAGCGUGGGGAGCGAACAGG
rnacentral:rRNA from 1 species